UUACUCAUGUGCGCAGUUGGCUGCGGCGUGACUUCUUUUGACGCUGGGGUCCUGGGUUCGAGUCCCCGUGAGUCAU